CCUACGGGUGACAGCAGUGAGGAAUAUUGGUCAAUGGCCGAGAGGCUGAACCAGCCAAGUCGCGUGAGGGAGGAAGGCGCUAAGGGUUGUAAACCUCUUUUGUCGGGGAGCAAAGAGAGGCACGUGUGACGCAUUGAGAGUACCCGAAGAAAAAGCAUCGGCUAACUCCGUGCCAGCAGCCGCGGUAAUACGGAGGAUGCGAGCGUUAUCCGGAUUUAUUGGGUUUAAAGGGUGCGCAGGCGGAGGUGCAAGUCAGCGGUAAAAUUGCGGGGCUCAACCCCGUCCUGCCGUUGAAACUGCAGCCCUUGAGUGCGCGAGAGGCAUGCGGAAUGCGCGGUGUAGCGGUGAAAUGCAUAGAUAUCACGCAGAACUCCGAUUGCGAAGGCAGCAUACCGGCGCGCCACUGACGCUCAUGCACGAAAGCGCGGGUAUCGAACAGGAUUAGAUACCCGGGUAGUC
rnacentral:rRNA from 1 species